rnacentral:lncRNA from 1 species
UGUUAGACUUAACGGUUUCAGUUAACUCAUCUGAUAUAAAGCUACCAUUGUUGUAAUAACUCUUUUAUGAAUUGAUUCAUCAUUUUACUUCUUGCACCUUUAUCUUCAGUUUUCUGUUUUCUACUUUACAUUUGUGAACUCAAGUUCAUCUUCAAUAUAAUAAUACUUUAUUUAAUUUUAUUAGUUAAAAAUAUAUGAAUGUUUUGUAUUUUUUUAGUAUUCCUCAGUCAAAG